rnacentral:misc_RNA from 1 species
GAAAAAAAUAAAAUAAAAUCACAAAUUGAUUAGCAAUAAUUUUGAAGUUAAAUUUGUUGUAUGGCAGAAUGGAUGUUCCAGCAGGUUCUGGAAUCAUAAAUGUUCACCGUGUGAACACAUUAACUUUUCAUCUAUAAUUGGAGUAAACACUGCAAAUAUCAUGUGUCCUAUAUAGUCUUGAACCUUGAACAAGUUGUAUCACCAUGUUAAUGGCUAAAGAAAUAAAAUGAACUAUAAUUUCAUAUUUGUUUGCUGUCACUGCUACUGUUCCUCUUAUUUGUAUUAGGCAUUUCAUUAUGAUUGUUGAGGCAUUUUGGGUUGCUAAUCCACUCCCCACCCUU